GAUGAACGCUGGCGGCGUGCUUAACACAUGCAAGUCGAACGAUGAAGCCCAGCUUGCUGGGUGGAUUAGUGGCGAACGGGUGAGUAACACGCGAGUAACCUGCCCUUAACUCUGGGAUAAGCCUGGGAAACUGGGUCUAAUACCGGAUAGGAGCGCCUACCGCAUGGUGGGUGUUGGAAAGAUUUAUCGGUUUUGGAUGGACUCGCGGCCUAUCAGCUUGUUGGUGAGGUAAUGGCUCACCAAGGCGACGACGGGUAGCCGGCCUGAGAGGGUGACCGGCCACACUGGGACUGAGACACGGCCCAGACUCCUACGGGAGGCAGCAGUGGGGAAUAUUGCACAAUGGGCGAAAGCCUGAUGCAGCGACGCCGCGUGAGGGAUGACGGCCUUCGGGUUGUAAACCUCUUUCAGUAGGGAAGAAGCGAAAGUGACGGUACCUGCAGAAGAAGCACCGGCUAACUACGUG
rnacentral:rRNA from 1 species